CAGGGAAUAGUUUAAUGAGAAUUUCAGUUUUGGGUGCUGAUGGUGUGGCUGUGGCCUCUUCCUUGA
rnacentral:tRNA from 1 species